rnacentral:rRNA from 1 species
UCCGGUUGAUCCCGCCGGAGGUUACUGCUAUCGAGGUUCGACUAAGCCAUGCGAGUCGAAUGUAGCAAUACAUGGCGUACUGCUCAGUAACACGUGGAUAACCUACCCUUGAGAUGGGGAUAAACCCGGGAAACUGGGUAUAAUACCCGAUAGAUCUCGACUGCUGGAAUGCAUCGAGCUCCAAAGCUCCGGCGCUCAAGGAUGGGUCUGCGGCCUAUCAGGUAGUAGUGGGUGUAGCGUACCUACUAGCCUACGACGGGUACGGGUUGUGAGAGCAAGAGCCCGGAGAUGGAUUCUGAGACACGAAUCCAGGCCCUACGGGGUGCAGCAGGCGCGAAAACUUUACAAUGCUGGAAACAGCGAUAAGGGGACCUCGAGUGCCAGGUUACAAAUCUGGCUGUCGUGAUGCCUAAAAAGCAUUGCAUAGCAAGGGCCGGGCAAGACCGGUGCCAGCCGCCGCGGUAACACCGGCGGCUCGAGUGGUAACCGUUAUUAUUGGGUCUAAAGGGUCUGUAGCCGGCCGGAUAAGUCUCUUGGGAAAUCUGGCAGCUUAACUGUCAGGCUUUCAGGAGAUACUGUCUGGCUCGAGGCCGGGAGAGGUGAGAGGUACUUCAGGGGUAGGGGUGAAAUCUUGUAAUCCUUGAAGGACCACCAGUGGCGAAGGCGUCUCACCAGAACGGACCUGACGGCAAGGGACGAAAGCUAGGGGCACGAACCGGAUUAGAUACCCGGGUAGUCCUAGCCGUAAACGAUACUCGCUAGGUGUCGGCCACGGUGCGACCGUUGUCGGUGCCGUAGGGAAGCCGUGAAGCGAGCCACCUGGGAAGUACGGCCGCAAGGCUGAAACUUAAAGGAAUUGGCGGGGGAGCACCACAACGGGUGGAGCUUGCGGUUUAAUUGGAUUCAACGCCGG